GAUGAACGCUUCCCUCCUGCUUAACACAUGCAAGUCAACUUGAACUUCGGUUUGGGUGGCGGACGGGUGAGUCACGCGUAAAGAACUUGCCUCACAGCUAGGGACAACAUUUGGAAACGAAUGCUAAUACCUGAUAUUAUGAUUUUAGGGCAUCCUAGAAUUAUGAAAGCUAUAUGCGCUGUGAGAGAGCUUUGCGUCCCAUUAGCUAGUUGGAGAGGUAACGGCUCACCAAGGCGAUGAUGGGUAGCCGGCCUGAGAGGGUGAACGGCCACAAGGGGACUGAGACACGGCCCUUACACCUACGGGAGGCAGCAGUGGGGAAUAUUGGUCAAUGGACCAAGAGUCUGAUCCAGCAAUUCUGUGUGCACGAUGAAGUUUUUCGGAAUGUAAAGUGCUUUCAGUUGAGAAGAAAAAAAUGACGGUACCAACAGAAGAAGGGACGGCUAAAUACGUG
rnacentral:rRNA from 1 species